AAAAUAUUUUCCAUCUCUAAUUACUCUCAGCCAGGCUGUGCCACCCUUACGCAUUCGGAGCGGUGCUUUACUUCCCGACUAUCUUCAGGAUGAAGAGCCCAGAAUUUAAACCGACUGGCUUCAAUUAACACCUAGGUAGUGAAGGAAUAAAUGCAGUAUUGUACCACUGAAUAAAAGGCGAGGGUCCAUGCUGCGCGCAAGCGUAAGGCUUCCAUCCACACUGCUCGCUCCCAGGAGCGCUGCAUGGCAGGGCUGAUGCACAAUACGGAAACCACCCAGAAACAACUACUAUUGUUCACCCACUAAUGAGGAUAAAAGCAAUGCACGCAGACUCUGUACGUCUUCGUGUCAAUGGUUCACAUCAGCUUCAACACGUUAACAGCAGUUUUCCAAGAGAAAGAGUGUGUGCCGAGACCUUCAUCUGGAAAACCAUCUGCCAUGGCCAACUGCAACAAGCAGAUGACGCUCUGAAAAGGUCCAGUCCUUGUGGCCCAAGAGUGACAGGGUCCAACCCCACACCCUCCCCAAGGCUUUCGCCUUCGCCUCUUCCUCCUGCCCACCCCUCAGAAGCACCAUUUCAUUGAAGUCAUGCUGCCACGGCCCUGGUUGUACCACGUCUGUCCAAGAGACAGGGCUUGGUGGAAAUGUAACUUAGGUCCAUCCCUUACUAUCAUCUCUAGUGGACCUUUCACAGGGUUGAGGGAAGACCCAGCUAGUCCCAGUUGCAGACCCAUCAGCCUUUUUGCGUAAGAAGCCCUGUGGCAAGGCACGCGAUGGCUGCUGGGAGGUGGAGGAGGACAUUACACAAUGCCACAUACCACGCUGUGUCUAACACACGGCAUCCCUUCCAGCAGACCCAGCUGAACACAGGCCAGCUCUCCAGAGCCUCCCGCUGCAGACCAGUUUCAG